CCCGGGAUGGAGCGGGCCGAGGCCUACGGCUUCUCCGCCGCCCUGAGCGGCUCCUUCCUGCUGUCCUGCCUGCUCUUCGCGGCCACCAGCCGCCGCCAGCGCGGGCCCUACAUGGACGAGCUGUUCCACGUCCCGCAGGCACAGGCCUAUUGCCAGGGCCGCUUCCUCCAGUGGGACCCCAUGAUCACCACCCUGCCAGGCUUGUACCUGGUCUCCGUGGGGGUGGUGAAGCCCGCAGCGUGGCUCUUCGGCUGGACGGGCAGCGUGGUGUGCUCUGCAGGAAUGCUCAGGUUUAUCAACCUCCUUUUCGCUGCUGGGAACUUCUAUUUACUGCAUUUACUUCUGCUGAAGAUCCAUCAGAAGAACAAGGCUGUGUCUGGUUUCCAGAGAAUCUUGUCUACAUUAACUCUUGCAAUGUUUCCCACCCUUUAUUUUUUUACAUUCCUUUAUUAUACGGACCCAGGAUCAGUGUUUUUUACCCUCUUUGCCUAUUUAAUGUGCCUUUAUGGUAACCAUAAAACUUCAGCUCUGCUUGGAUUUUGUGGCUUCAUGUUUCGUCAGACAAAUAUUGUGUGGACAGUUUUUUGUGCUGGAAAUGUUGCUGCAGAGAAGCUAAAUGAGGCUUGGAAGACAGAAUUACAGAAAAAGAAAGAUGAAAAGAUUUCUUCCAGGAAAGGAUCAUUUCCAGAGUUGUUCAGAAUAUUGCUGUUUCUUAUUAAAUACCUCAUUUUGCCUAAAAACUUAGUUACACUUGCUGCUUUAACUUGGCCAUACAUCAUAUUAGUAACUGUGUUCUUUGUUUUUGUCUUCAUCAAUGGUGGAAUAGUUGUUGGUGACAGAAGUAGCCAUGAAGCCUGUUUGCACUUUCCUCAGCUGUUCUAUUUUCUGUCCUUUACUGUCUUUUUUUUGUUCCCUCAUUUAUUGACCCCUACUAAAAUCAGAAAAUUCUUCCUGUCAUUACAAAAGCACCCUGUAUGGUACAGCUUAAUUGCUGUCAUCUCUUUAUUCCUGAUCUGGAAGUUUACCUAUGUCCAUAAGUAUUUACUAGCAGAUAACAGGCAUUAUACAUUCUAUGUCUGGAGAAAGAUCUUUCAAAGACAUGAGCUUGUAAAAUAUGUGCUAGUUCCAGUCUAUAUGUUUGCUGGCUGGAGUUUUGUUGAUACACUGAAAUCAAAAUCGAUAUUCUGGAUCUUAAUGUAUUUUGCAUGUUUAUUAGCAGUCACAGUUCCUCAAAAAUUGCUGGAAUUUCGUUAUUUUAUUUUGCCCUUCUUAAUAUACAGGCUUAAUAUUCCAUUUCCAUCUCUAUAUAGACAACUUCUGGAGUUGGCUUUUUAUAUUGCUGUCAAUGCUGUAACUUUUUAUAUUUUUUUAAACAAAACAUUCCAAUGGCCAAAUAGUAAUGAAAUCCAGAGGUUUAUGUGGUGACUUUUUCCUUUUUUUGUUGUUUUUUUUUUUUUUUUAAUACUUUCAUAUCUUUAGGAAACCAGUUCUGUUUCAGGACUGUGGGCUCUGGAAUGAAGCAGAAUGUUUAGCAUUAUGUAAGGACUUUUUUCCUCAGUUGAAUUCGAGGAAAUAAGCUGUUUGCUUAUAUUCUUGCAGCUGAUUGUGAGACCUGUUUGCAGAUCAGUGCCCAGGCCCUGCUUCCUUCCCUCUACUCACACUGUGAAGAAUGUGAUUAGCUCAGGUUAUCCUGCACAAUGUGUUUGCCACCCUCCUGCUUCUAAGGAAACCUUAAAGCCACUCCUCAGUGAGUAGGUUUAUUUCUAUUGCAUUUCAGGUGUUUGCCAGGUCACUGCAUCUUGGCCUGUUGCUGGUAUGGUAAUUACUUGAUAAUAUGUGUACCAUAGGGAAAGCCAUUUUUUAUUACUCCCUCUUUGCUUUAUCUUGUCCCUGUUUUGAAGGGACAAGAAAAACCCAAAAAUGGGUUAUUUUUCAAGAGUCCAGUGUGGUUCUUGCAGAGUCCAGGAUGUUGUCUUUUGUUGUGAUUUUUGUAGGAUAGAUUUGGGGGGGGAAGUCUUGCAUGCCUUCUGCUUCCAGUUUUGUUUUUGUAUACCAUACCAGUAAAAAUGUAAACAAGGUAAAGAGCAGAUGGGUGGUUUAGUACAAUUUCAUUUAUGUCCUGAAAUAUUAGUAGUGAAUGAGCUGGAAUAGUAACAUGGGAAGCGAUGGGGCUCUGGCUAGAGUUCUGAAUUCUAGAUCUAUUGAGGGUUUUUGUUGUUGUUGUUUGUUUGUUUGUUUGUUUGUUGCCCCCCCCCCGCCGCUUUUAUGUAGGGGAGCAGGUGUUCAUUCUUUUGAUAAAAUGCAAACACUCCUGUGCUUACAGGGUAGUUCACAGGUGUUCUGUUUUGUCCAGCAUGUCUAUUGAUGGUGGUAUCUGAAUGCUGUAGAUUAUCAACAUGGUUAAGAAACAGUGUUUAUGCUUCUUAUUCUUAACAGAGAUAGCAGCCCUGUUUCAAGUGAAAAGAACCAAGUUUAAAUAUAUACAACUUUAUUGCAUUUCUUACGUAAAGUGAAUGCAAAAAGUCCCCCCAAAUUUAGAGCGCAGCAUCUUUCUAGUGAGUUCCACAAGACACUAGAAAAUCACAUGUAGAGAGAUGUCUGUGAAAUGUUGGGGUUUUUUUAACCACUAUUACAAGAUGGCAUAAUAUUUUAUCACAGGAUUUAUCAUUAUAUAUAUAUAUAUAUAUAUUUUAGAGUACAAUUAAUCUCUACAUAGGUUGCUAAUUCAAAAGCAAGCUGAGUUGAUGUAAGUUUAAAUGAAAGAGGGAAAUCCAUUAAUUACUUAAACAUUGAAGAACAAUUUACUUUUAGAAUAAAGCUAUGCUUUCACUUUUGAUGAUGAACCAUAGGGAGUUUGCAGGUAAUAAUCAGUGUUAGCCUGAUUCAGAAAUCAAUGUGGUUGCAAUUUAGUCAUAAUUGGUCAUUAACAUCUCUUAGAAAUUUGAAAAAUGCCAGUAGCACUGUUUAUACCUAGAUACAAGAACUAGUUAAACAUACUUGAUGAUCUUGGAGCAAGUAUCUUUAUGAAAAUGGAUUUUAGUAUUUUGCCCCUGAAAUACUUCCAUUGUGGUUUUAAUUUAUUGGCUAUUCAUCAUAAAGGCAUGCAGAAAGGACUGUGUUUAUCCUGGCUUAUGUUGCCAAGGUCUUCUCAUUUCAGUAGAACCAUAAUUGCUUACUUGAGGUUAAUUCCUCAGCAGGUGCCAUUUGGCAGUGAAAUUACUUACAACAGCAUUAAAAUGAUAGUUUUAUUGUAAAUGUUAUUAAUCAGCUAUCCAUUUAGAAAAAAAAUCACACUAAUUUGUUGGAAUGUCCAAGAUGAAAACAAAAAUAGCUUAGCUAACAGUUUUAUAAUUGCUGUUUGAAAAGAAAGGCUCAGGUUCAGUUUUUCUCAGACAGAAACUUGAUGAUUUUUCAACAACUGUCAGAAUAAUAAAAAUAGAGAGCUUGACAGGCCACAGCAUGGCUGAAUUGUUUUGAAGUGGGGGAAAAAAAAACACCCCCAAAAUUGAACACAUUGGUUUUUUUCCUUUAGUUAAAGAUAGAUGGUUAUUUGGGAAGACAGAAGGUUUGAUAAUCCUGUAUGUUGUGAACUGUAUUUUCUGUUAUUUGUGAGCAAUCUGUAUUUAAUUCAAGUUCUUUGACAACACAUGUUCACAUUCAAAAUUAGCCUGAAUUUUACAGCACGAGCAGUAUGUGCCUGCUGAAAUAUUUUUAUCUGUU